rnacentral:rRNA from 1 species
GACGAACGCUGGCGGCGUGCUUAACACAUGCAAGUCGAGCGAGCCCCCUGCUUCGGUGGGGUGUGCUAGCGGCGAACGGGUGAGUAACACGUGGGCAACCUGCCCUCAGCUCUGGGAUAACUCCAAGAAAUUGGGGCUAAUACCGGAUGUGACCGCUGACCGCAUGGUCUGGUGGUGGAAAGACUUAUCGGCUGGGGAUGGGCCCGCGGCCUAUCAGCUUGUUGGUGGGGUA